rnacentral:sRNA from 1 species
AUAUCGCGUAGCAUAUGCAGGUGAUUGGUUUCGUAACAUCACUCCCCCUCUCUGAAGCCCUUUGUCCUCAAAGGUUCGGGCAGUCAAGCCCUCACCGAG